AAGGCGUAGGAGGCUUAGGCCGCAAACGCGCUUUCAAUCCCGAGAGGUGAUGAGGGUCGCCGCAAGGCGGACAACUUGAUGAUUCCAGGCUUCCAAGAAAAGCUUCGCGUGAGUGUAUCGCUGUGCUGUCCGUACCGUAAACCGACACAGGUGGGUGGGGAGAACAUCCCAAGGCGCUUGAGAGAACUCGGGUUAAGGAACUCGGCAAAUUGACACCGUAACUUCGGGAGAAGGUGUGCCCUUGAGGGUGAAGAGCUUCGCGCUUGGAGCCUUUGGGGGUUGCAGAGAAUCGGGGGUAGCGACUGUUUAUCAAAAACACAGGACUCUGCGAAGUCGCAAGACGACGUAUAGGGUCUGACGCCUGCCCGGUGCCGGAAGGUUAACAGGAGAUGUCAGCGCAAGCAAAGCAUCGAAUCGAAGCCCCGGUAAACGGCGGCCGUAACGAUAACGGUCCUAAGGUAGCGAAAUUCCUUGGCGGGUAAGUUCCGUCCUGCACGAAUGGCGUAACGACUUCCCCACUGUCUCGACCCGGGACUCAGCGAAAUUGAAUUCGGGGUGAAGAUGCCCCGUACCCGCGGAAAGACGGAAAGACCCCGUGAACCUUUACUGCAGCUUGGCACUGGUUUUCGGAUUUGUCUGUGUAGGAUAGGUGGGAGGCUGUGAAGUGGGGCCGCUAGGUUUCACAGAGCCAACGUUGAAAUACCACCCUGACAAAUCUGAAAGCCUAACCGCGACCCGUAAGCCGGGUCCGGAACACUGCCUGGUGGGUAGUUUGACUGGGGCGGUCACCUCCGAAAGAGUAACGGAGGCGCGCAAAGGUUCCCUCAGGCUGAUUGGAAACCAGCCGUAGAGUGUAAAAGCACAAGGGAGCUUGACUGCAACUCAUACGAGAGGAGCAGGUACGAAAGUAGGCUUUAGUGAUCCGGUGGUUCUGAAUGGAAGGGCCAUCGCUCAACGGAUAAAAGGUACUCCGGGGAUAACAGGCUUAUCACGCCCAAGAGUUCACAUCGACGGCGUGGUUUGGCACCUCGAUGUCGGCUCAUCGCAUCCUGGGGCUGUAGUAGGUCCCAAGGGUUUGGCUGUUCGCCAAUUAAAGCGGUACGCGAGCUGGGUUCAAAACGUCGUGAGACAGUUUGGUCCCUAUCUUCCGUGGGCGCAGGAGUCUUGAAGUGGAUCUGUCCCUAGUACGAGAGGACCGGGAUGGACGAACCCCUGGUGUUCCGGUUGUUUUGCCAGAGGCAUUGCCGGGUAGCUAUGUUCGGAGAGGAUAACCGCUGAAAGCAUCUAAGCGGGAAACCAACCACAAGAUGAGGACUCCCUGAAGGUCCGUCGUAGACCACGACGUUGAUAGGUCGGGUGUGGAAGUGCGGCAACGCAUGGAGCUAACCGAUACUAAUAGACCGUUUGGCUUGACU
rnacentral:rRNA from 1 species